UUCGCCCUUAGAGUUUGAUCCUGGCUCAGGACGAACGCUGGCGGCGCGCCUAACACAUGCAAGUCGAACGAGCGAGAGAGAGCUUGCUUUCUCGAGCGAGUGGCGAACGGGUGAGUAACGCGUGAGGAACCUGCCUCAAAGAGGGGGACAACAGUUGGAAACGACUGCUAAUACCGCAUAAGCCCACGGGUCGGCAUCGACCAGAGGGAAAAGGAGCAAUCCGCUUUGAGAUGGCCUCGCGUCCGAUUAGCUAGUUGGUGAGGUAACGGCCCACCAAGGCGACGAUCGGUAGCCGGACUGAGAGGUUGAACGGCCACAUUGGGACUGAGACACGGCCCAGACUCCUACGGGAGGCAGCAGUGGGGAAUAUUGCACAAUGGGGGAAACCCUGAUGCAGCGACGCCGCGUGGAGGAAGAAGGUCUUCGGAUUGUAAACUCCUGUUGUUGAGGAAGAUAAUGACGGUACUCAACAAGGAAGUGACGGCUAACUACGUGCCAGCAGCCGCGGUAAAACGUAGGUCACAAGCGUUGUUCGGAAUUACUGGGUGUAAAGGGAGCGCAGGCGGGAAGACAAGUUGGAAGUGAAAUCUAUGGGCUCAACCCAUAAACUGCUUUCAAAACUGUUUUUCUUGAGUAGUGCAGAGGUAGGCGGAAUUCCCGGUGUAGCGGUGGAAUGCGUAGAUAUCGGGAGGAACACCAGUGGCGAAGGCGGCCUACUGGGCACCAACUGACGCUGAGGCUCGAAAGUGUGGGUAGCAAACAGGAUUAGAUACCCUGGUAGUCCACACCGUAAACGAUGAUUACUAGGUGUUGGGAGGAUUGACCCCUUCAGUGCCGCAGUUAACACAAUAAGUAAUCCACCUGGGGAGUACGACCGCAAGGUUGAAACUCAAAGGAAUUGACGGGGGCCCGCACAAGCAGUGGAGUAUGUGGUUUAAUUCGACGCAACGCGAAGAACCUUACCAAGUCUUGACAUCCUGCGACGCACAUAGAAAUAUGUGUUUCCUUCGGGACGCAGAGACAGGUGGUGCAUGGUUGUCGUCAGCUCGUGUCGUGAGAUGUUGGGUUAAGUCCCGCAACGAGCGCAACCCUUACUGUCAGUUACUACGCAAGAGGACUCUGGCAGGACUGCCGUUGACAAAACGGAGGAAGGUGGGGAUGACGUCAAAUCAUCAUGCCCUUUAUGACUUGGGCUACACACGUACUACAAUGGCGUUAAACAAAGAGAAGCAAGACCGCGAGGUGGAGCAAAACUCAGAAACAACGUCCCAGUUCGGACUGCAGGCUACAACUCGCCUGCACGAAGUCGGAAUUGCUAGUAAUCGUGGAUCAGCAUGCCACGGUGAAUACGUUCCCGGGCCUUGUACACACCGCCCGUCA
rnacentral:rRNA from 1 species